rnacentral:lncRNA from 10 species
GACAUUUGCCCUAACCUUGCAGCCUUGGAAGAUACGAUUACGGCGCAGAGUGCUGUCGCCUUAAGCAGGAAAGGAGCAUACAAUCUUUUGGGGGAGAUAAGACAGAAGAAACACAUAGACAUACAAAGAACAGAAUUAGAAAACAUGCUGAGCUCAGCGAGAGAGAGAACAUUUUGGAUUGGGAAAGAAGAGGUGCCUGCACCUAAAACCAAUUAUGUCUUGAAGAGCGGAUAGUGUGCGAUAGAAGAUGGGGCUACCCUUCAGGAAGGGGACCUGCCGAGAGAAGUGAGAAAGAGAGAAUAGGCAGGACUCUUUUUUAGAGCCGGACACUUAGUCACUAAACAAUCUUUGUUACAUAAAAUACUUAAAUCAG